rnacentral:rRNA from 1 species
GACGAACGCUGGCGGCGUGCCUAAUACAUGCAAGUUGAGCGCUGAAGGUUGGUACUUGUACCAACUGGAUGAGCAGCGAACGGGUGAGUAACGCGUGGGGAAUCUGCCUUUGAGCGGGGGACAACAUUUGGAAACGAAUGCUAAUACCGCAUAAAAACUUUAAACACAAGUUUUAAGUUUGAAAGAUGCAAUUGCAUCACUCAAAGAUGAUCCCGCGUUGUAUUAGCUAGUCGGUGAGGUAAAGGCUCACCAAGGCGAUGAUACAUAGCCGACCUGAGAGGGGGAUCGGCCACAUUGGGACUGAGACACGGCCCAAACUCCUACGGGAGGCAGCAGUAGGGAAUCUUCGGCAAUGGACGAAAGUCUGACCGAGCAACGCCGCGUGAGUGAAGAAGGUUUUCGGAUCGUAAAACUCUGUUGGUGGAGAAGAACGUUGGUGAGAGUGGAAAGCUCAUCAAGUGACGGUAACUACCCAGAAAGGGACGGCUAACUACGUG